rnacentral:rRNA from 1 species
UACGGAGGGGGCGAGCGUUGUUCGGAAUUAUUGGGCGUAAAGGGCGCGUAGGCGGCCGGCCAAGUCGGGUGUGAAAUCCCUCGGCUCAACCGAGGAACUGCACUCGAUACUGGCUGGCUUGAGUCCGGGAGGGGAUGGUGGAAUUCCCAGUGUAGCGGUGAAAUGCGUAGAUAUUGGGAAGAACACCGGUGGCGAAGGCGACCAUCUGGACCGGAACUGACGCUGAGGCGCGAAAGCCAGGGGAGCGAAUGGG